GUAGCAGAAUAUUGGAAAGUGCUGGAUUUCUGGAGGAUCAGGAUGUAUUCAGAGCCAUCUUGUCUCCUUAUGUUUUAAUUUCUCACUGCACUGGGACCAUUCUGCAUAAUGGGAUUUUAACAAGUUAGCAGAAACAGGAACACUAAUUGAUCUACAUAUUUUCUGCAGGGGGAAAGCCUUGGACUGAGCUGGCCCUGGGAAGCUGGGCCAUACAGACAAAGGAGGCAAUUGUUCCCUGAGAAGAAAGGAGAAUGACCUCACUACACACAGCCGCCAGGAGGUGCCUUGGGAUGAGCAGACAACUCUCAUGCUGCCUUACCUCAGAUGGUGACUUUGGGACAAUCUCAGGGAGGUGGUAAGGAUGUGGUCUAAGGAGGGCAGCCUUAAGCAUCCUAGGCUGUCGCACUCAAAGGGCCCUGGGUCAGAGCCCGGUGAAGUGCGAGGGCCCAGGCUCCCCUACCAACAACCCCCCUCCAGGUCACAAGCAUAUGCCCUGACCUCUAGGCAGUGCUUCCCUACCAACCAACCCACCCCAAGUGAGGGCCGUCACACUAGGAAAUAGACACAAACUAAUCACAACCAGUGUCAUAAAGAUCAGCACUUUGACUCAAGCAUCAGAUUUCACUAUGGCUAUGCUGUAUUGUAACUAAGUUUUUUUUUUUUUUUUUUUUUUUGCAUUGGAAGAUGUAAGCACUUUGCAUAAAAUCACGAGUUGUUUACUCAGAGCACUACCAUCCCACCCUGCCCUGGCAUAUAGUAACAUUAAAUUGCUGCUCAUUCUCUGCACACAUGUAAUGAAGUUUUCAGAUUUUUGGAGACUACACUCACGGGCCUGUAUUCUUUCCUUGCACUUUGUGCACAGCUCCCAUUGACUGACUACAAUAUGGCACACCGGGCCUGUUGCUGCUCCCCGUGGAGUCAAUUGACAAAUCUUCCAUCAACUUCAGUGGGAGCAGAAUCAGUGUUCAGUUCUAGGCAAAGGCUGGAUUCAAUUUUUUUAAACAAAUCUGUCUAGUUUCUGCCCAUCAAAGUCCAUGAAAGGACUCUAACUCUGAGAAAAAGAUUUGAAGGCCUUGUAGCCUUCAGUCAAUCUGUCCUGGGUAUUUAUAGAGCACAAGUUUCCAUAGGGUAUGGCUACACUGCCAUAAAACACCUGUGGCUUACCUGCUUCAGCUGACUUGUUUUCGCAGGGGUCAGGAUAAAGGGCUAUAAAUUACCUUGUGGGCAUUCAGGUUCUAUGGGGUUUGAGAUCCCAGGCUCCAGGCCAAGCCCAAAUGUUCAAACUGCAAUUUUAUAGCUCCUUAGUGUGAGCUCUGCAAGCCCAAGUCAGCUGACCCAGGCCAGCCACGGGUGUUUUAUGGCAGUGUAGACAUACUUACAGUUUCUGUUGUAGAAAUUUCUAUAGGCUGAGAGCCGAAUGGAUUUAAUAUUUUUUUUAUUAAAAAGCAGUAGAAAAUGAGGAUUAGAGACAGAUCACUGUCAGCAGAUAAAAUGGCAGUGGUAAUGCAAAUUAUAGUAAACUGAUUAUUGUUUCCAGGGGAGAUGAGGUGCAGAUACAGGAGUAGGUUCACAGUAGUGAUGCAAAGAGCUUUUGUCCCCACUGCAUAGUGCUGGAAUUCUGCAUGUAGGUUCCUUGUAAGAAGUAAAUCUGUGCAUAUCUGGAAUUCAAAUGUCUUAAAAAUCACUGAGCCUGGGACAGAGAUCUCAUCAUGCUGUAUAUUCUGCAAAUGCUGAUGAAUUGCAGCCAGAUUUCCAUGCCUCAAAGCAGAGUAUCAGACUAACAAAUAACAGCAGCCAGGUGCUGAAAAUUAACACUGAACCUGAAACUGGAGCUGUGGCUGAAUUAUUUAUUGAAAUUCCAUUACUUUAUUUGCACUAUUAAAAGCCAGGCAAACCUGCAGGUAUUGUAAUAUAUGGACUAAAGGAGUUUUCUUUAUGUUAAUAUGAGAGCAUUUCCUACCUAAUCCAUUGGCUUCAGGCCAUAUUCUAUCCUCAUUUAACUGUUGAUCCAAUAGAUUGCUGAGCACCACAAGAGAAGUGCUGACCAUCUGCAACGCCUAUUGAUUUCACUGGGAUUAUGAGGGAACUCAGCAACUCCUGAGAGAUGCUCAGCACUUUGCAGGAUUAAACCUUUCUACCCA